ensembl:lncRNA
CCGGCAGCAGGAGGAGGAGGAGGAGGAGGAGGAGGAAGAAGAGGAGGAGGAGACGGCCUUCUUCCCUCCCGCCGCCCAGCGCGGAGGCAGGUUGAGCCGCGGCGAGGCUGGGAGGCCGGCGGCGGAGGCUCGGCGGAGUCCCGGGAGCCGAGGAGGGCUCGGAGCAGCGAGCGGCUCGGCGGCGGGGCAGGUGGCGGCAGCCGAGCGGCGCUCCAGGACUGAGAGCGGAGGCCGGGAGGAGGAGCCCGGCCUCGGCGCCUCCCCGAGCCGGCCCCCCCGGGGAGGAGAGGGGUGGGUUCGGCUCCCAGACCCCCCAGGCCGGGCGGGGAGGUGCUGCCGAGCUGUCAUCCACAAGGACCAGAAUGAAGAGCAGGGAAAGGCUGAGCCAGAGAUAACAGAAGGAAAGCACAAGGUCUUUGUGGCUGAAAAUUCAGGCAGUCACCAGGAGGAGCCCUGAUGUUAGUGGGAGUACUUGAGCCUUGGGACUCAGGGAACAUGAGGUUCUCUGCAAUACAGGAGACUGUCUCCAGGUGCCCCCAACUACUGCUGCCAACAAGCUUGUCAUGCAGAGUUAAAGGAGAACAGGGACAUUUCAAUUUCAGGAGCAUCCAUGGGGUACAUGAAAAGCACUGAGCAAUCAGGAGAUGGAAGAUGGAUGUAGGAAGAGCAGGUUAGAUUAAAAUUUGUACUUUUUAUUGAUAGAAUCCAUAUAUACAAGUAUGGAAAGAUUCAAUUUCAGAUGUUAAGGAUGUUACUUCAUUUAUCCCAGACAUAACAGAGUUGCCAAUGAGUACAAGGAAGUAUAUGGCUCUUGGAUUUUCCAGGGCCUUUCCAUUUAGAAUCAGGUAAGAAAAGAUUCACAUUAGAUACUGGUUCCAGGGUAUGAGGGGAAUGUGUGUAUUUAGGGACUUGCACAACGAAUAUACCUAGGGUAUAUGUUGUCUCACUAUUGGUACUGCAAGCCUUAAGAUGGAGACAUCACAUAGCUUCCAGUCUGCUUUUCAAUGAGGCUUUAAAACAGGCCUUUGAUUAUGCAUGUAUUGAAGGCUUGUUGCUGGAUAUGGCGGGAACUACAGGAGAUUCAGGGAUGCAAAGCAAUGGCAUAGAUGUUUUUUGGACCAGACUACAGAGAGUUAAACAACAGUUAUACAUUUAAAGUGAUUUCAGACUGGAAUGUUGCAAAUCCUGAUGUUUCUCUUGCACAUAGUGACAGAUAUGAGAUGCACAGACUGAUACAAAGCCAUGCAGCCUGGCUAGGGUUUGGCAGUUUCAGGACUGAGUUCAUACAUGAUUUUGCAUUUCUGUUCAAAUACGUUAUCCUAAAGCUUUAGGCAUUCCUUAAAAGAGCUACAGUGAAUGGAACCAUGUAUUUCCAUAGGACCCAUGGCCUUAUGGGAGAUCCAGCUGUGUAGCCUGUCUAUCAUGGAGGAGAUUCUGUUAUGAGUGGGGAGAAAAGGCAGAAAGCUCAUUUGGGAAAAUGUCAUAAAGAUAGGCUGUUCCUUAGGCUUGCAUAAUUUUCUGUCAUUGACUGGUGAGAAGAGGGCAUUCAAGCAAAGAUGUCUUGGAGUGUUGUUUGAUCAAAUGUAGUCAUCUUGGCCCAGGAAAUUCAUUCAGAUGUUAAUAAAAAUGGAAAACUGUGGUAUGACA